rnacentral:rRNA from 1 species
GAUCCUGGCUUAGGAUGAACGCUGGCGGCAGGCUUAAUACAUGCAAGUCGAACGGUAACGACCGGUAGCAAUACUGGGGCGACGAGUGGCGCACGGGUGCGUAACGCGUAUGCAACCUACCCUCAACCGGGGCAUAACGCCGAGAAAUUGGCGCUAAUAUCCCAUGUGUAUGUGAGACGGCAUCGUCUUAUAUAUAAAGAUCCGUUGGUUAAGGAUGGGCAUGCGUAACAUUAGCUGGUUGGCGGGGUAACGGCCCACCAAGGCGACGAUGUUUAGGGGUUCUGAGAGGAUUCACCCCCACACUGGAACUGAGACACGGUCCAGACUCCUACGGGAGGCAGCAGUAGGGAAUAUUGGGCAAUGGAGGCAACUCUGACCCAGCCAUGCCGCGUGAAGGAAGACGGCCCUAUGGGUUGUAAACUUCUUUUGCCGCAGAGUAACCCGGGGGACGAGUCCCCCGCUGAGAGUAUGCGGCGAAUAAGUAUCGGCUAACUCCGUGCCAGCCGCAGC